rnacentral:rRNA from 1 species
UACGAAGGGGGCUAGCGUUGUUCGGAAUCACUGGGCGUAAAGCGUGCGUAGGUGGGUUGGUAAGUCUGAUGGGAAAGGCCUGGGCUCAACCUGGGAAUGGCAUUGGAUACUGGCAGUCUAGAGUGCGGUAGAGGGUAGCGGAAUUCCCGGUGUAGCAGUGAAAUGCGUAGAUAUCGGGAGGAACAUCCGUGGCGAAGGCGGCUACCUGGACCAGCACUGACACUGAGGCACGAAAGCGUGGGGAGCAAACAGG